rnacentral:tRNA from 1 species
GCCGUGGCCUACUGGUUAGCGCUUCGGACUUGUAACCGGAGGGUUGCCGGUUCAAGCCCAGACCAGUAGGCA